ACCGAAAUAGCUCAGUUGGCAGACCGUUAGACAUUGGAGCUAGGGUACGUGGUUUGAUCCCGGGUUCCGGCA
rnacentral:tRNA from 1 species